GGGGAGGAGGAGGAUAUUUUCAGCUUGCACGAAUUUUUUUCGGCCGUCUGCUUGGGCUGGAAUGUUUUGGAAUUUUAAAGAUAUUUUUCUUUCCUCUUCUAUUUUUCUUUUCUUUUUGUUCUCUCUUUUAUUUUUUGUUCCCCUUCCCGUCCCUCCCCUCUCACUUUUCUAAUGGUCCACCCCUAAGCGAUCUGACGCAACAGUUUAAAAUUAGCUACAAGGGUCGCGUUUACACUAUAAAGCCACGGAAAACCAAAUGCAGUGGUCUG